rnacentral:rRNA from 1 species
GAUGAACGCUAGCGGCAGGCUUAAUGCAUGCAAGUCGUGGGGCAGCAUGAGUAGGAAUACUUGAUGGCGACCGGCAAACGGGUGCGGAACACGUACACAACCUUCCGAUAAGUGGGGAAUAGCCCAGAGAAAUUUGGAUUAAUACCCCGUAACAUAUAGAGUAGGCAUCUUCUUUAUAUUAUAGCUUCGGCGCUUAUUGAUGGGUGUGCGUCUGAUUAGGUAGUUGGCGGGGUAACGGCCCACCAAGCCUACGAUCAGUAGCUGAUGUGAGAGCAUGAACAGCCACACGGGCACUGCGACACGGGCCCGCCUCCUACGGGAGGCAGCAGUAAGGAAUAUUGGACAAUGGGCGAAAGCCUGAUCCAGCCAUGCCGCGUGAAGGAUUAAGGUCCUCUGGAUUGUAAACUUCUUUUAUUUGGGACGAAAAAAGGGAAUUCUUUCCCACUUGACGGUACCAAGUGAAUAAGCACCGGCUAACUCCGUGCCAGCCGCCGCCGUAA